rnacentral:rRNA from 1 species
AACGAACGCUGGCGGCAUGCCUAACACAUGCAAGUCGAACGAGACCUUCGGGUCUAGUGGCGCACGGGUGCGUAACGCGUGGGAACCUGCCCUUAGGUUCGGAAUAACUCCCCGAAAGGGGUGCUAAUACCGGAUAAUGUCUUCGGACCAAAGAUUUAUCGCCUUUGGAUGGGCCCGCGUUGGAUUAGCUAGUUGGUAGGGUAAAAGCCUACCAAGGCGACGAUCCAUAGCUGGUCUGAGAGGAUGAUCAGCCACACUGGGACUGAGACACGGCCCAGACUCCUACGGGAGGCAGCAGUGGGGAAUAUUGGACAAUGGGCGAAAGCCUGAUCCAGCAAGGCCGCGUGAGUGAUGAAGGCCUUAGGGUUGUAAAGCUCUUUUAACCGGGAUGAUAAUGACAGUACCGGGAGAAUAAGCUCCGGCUAACUCCGUG